GGGGUAUAGCUCAGCUGGGAGAGCGCUUGAAUGGCAUUCAAGAGGUCAUGGGUUCGAAUCCCACUAUCUCC
rnacentral:tRNA from 6 species